AGCAGCCGCGGUAAUUCCAGCUCCAAUAGCGUAUAUUAAAGUUGUUGCAGUUAAAAAGCUCGUAGUUGAAUUUCGGGAUUGACGUGAUGGUCAUGCCUUAAGGGGUAUGAACUGUCGCUGUUGAUUUCUCACCUUCUGGAGAAACUUGAUGUCCUUAAUUGGGUGUCUUGCGGAUCCAGGACCUUUACCUUGAAAAAAUUAGAGUGUUUAAAGCAGGCAUUUUUGCUCGAAUACAUUAGCAUGGAAUAAUAGAAUAGGACGGCAUGGUUCUAUUUUGUUGGUUUCUAGGAUCACCGUAAUGAUUAAUAGGGAUAGUUGGGGGCAUUAGUAUUCAAUUGUCAGAGGUGAAAUUCUUGGAUUUAUUGAAGACUAACUACUGCGAAAGCAUUUGCCAAGGAUGUUUUCAUUAAUCAAGAACGAAAGUUAGGGGACCGAAGACGAUCAGAUACCGUCGUAGUCUUAACCAUAAACUAUGCCGACUAGGAAUCAGACGAUGUAAUUUUUUAAUGACUCGUUUGGC
rnacentral:misc_RNA from 1 species